AGGCCAGCGGGAGGCGAGAGCGCCUACCCCCGUAGCCUCCUUUCUUCUCCCAUGGUCGCGACCCCCGCGCGGGCGCCCGGGACGCGAAGGGAGCGGCCGCGCGGCCGAGCCCGCAGCCUGCACCGCGGCUCGCGACCACCUAUUGUUUACCGGGCCGGGAGCCGGAGGCGAGUGGGUGCAGGCCGGGGGGGGCUCGCGUUUCCACACCUCCCCGCCCAGUCCGCUCCUCCCAGGAGGGUCGAGGCAAGGUAUGUGGCUGUGACCGGGAGGAGUGCAGAUCGUGGCUGACAGAGGAACGGGGGGAUUGAGGUUGGCACUAACUCCUGGGAUCCCUUUGCUCUAGCUGGUCUCAAAGCGGGCAAGGGUUGUUUCCCGGCUUAGGAGGCGGUGGUUGCGGCUGCUGCUCCUACGGAUAUUGCGCAAGACUGGGGCGUUGGAAACCCUGUAGGUCUGGGGAAUGGAAAAGGAAGUGGGACUUUGGGAAGUGGUUGCUCCUUAGUCUUGGCGGGGUUUGGGAGUGGGAAAUCAGCUGGGGAAAAUUUUUAUCUUGGGUAAGGUACACCUCGAAGAAUAAUCACUUAACUCUGAAAUCUGAUUAUGAGAAGGAUACACAGUUAAUAUCUGUAAAAUGAAUGGGCAGCAAACAUUGGCUAGUUUUUAUUUUUUAUUUAAAAAGUACAGUAGUUUUUAUGGUGGAGGUGAUAUGACUUAGUAGUGAAUACUUUUUCACGUUUUGAAGAGACUGGUCUAGUAAAGCUUUAGCGUUAAAUUUUUAACAGCUUAUAAAAUAGGCCCUUGACCAUACUUAGUAUUAUACUAGUAUCGUUGAGCUUUGUGAUUCCCGCCUCCCCACACCAGUAAUAGAGGAUGGAAGUAAAGUUUUCUCAGUAUCUUUUGAAGAUUGAAAAUAUAAGUUAAAUAAUCUAACUUAUUCCUUAUUAAAAAUAAAAAUAUUGCUUAUAUUUAAACAUUUGCUCUUGAUAUUUAGCCUAUGUAUUUUUGAAAAAUUACUUUUUGAUCUGAAAGGGUUAAGGAAAAUAGGGCAUUUUCCCUUUUUACUAUUGAGAGUUUUUAUUGUCUUGGUAUCUUUUGAAUGGUGUCAUUUACAGCAAUUGGUUGGAGUCUCCUUUUUACUACUUUCUAGCAAAAGUAGAAGAAAAUACUUGAAAUAUUUAAGAUGUUUUUCUUAAAUAUUUAAGAAGUUUUUUUGGUUUUUUUUGUUUGGUUGGUUGGUUGGGUUUUUUUUUGAGACGGAGUCUCGCUCUGCGCUCUGUCGCCCCGGCUGGAGUGCAGCGGCGCAAUCUCAGCUCACUGCAACCUCUGCCUCCCAGAUUCAAGCGAUUUUCCUGCCUCAGCCUCCUGAGUAGCUGAGAUUACAGGCACAUGCCACCACGCCCGGCUAAUUUUUGUCCCAAGUAGCUAGGACUACAGGCGCAAGCUACCACGCCCUGCUAGUUUUGUAUUUUUAGUAGAGAUGGGAUUUCGCCAUAUUUGCAGGCUGCUGUCGAACUCCUCAUCUCAAGUGAUCCAUCUGCUUUGGCCUCCCAAAGUGCUGGGAUUACAGGCGUGAGCCACCAUGCCCGGCCUAAAACUAGUUUUUUACCGUCUUACUUUGGUUAUGGAAGAAGAGAUGGUGUGGUCCCUGGUCAUUUCUUGUUUGCAUGCUAGUCACCUUGUUAUCCCUAGGCAUAUACCGUCAGGAAGGAGCAUUGUUUGGUGAUGCGGGCCAUCAGGACAGGUGCCCAGCCUCUGAACUCCUGUACUGGAGAAGUAGCCUUAGGGUUCAUGCUUUGGGGAUGAGUCAGAGAUUCCUAUUGGAGAGUUCAUUUCUUUCUUUCUUUUUUUUUUUGAGAUGGAGUCUCGCUCUGUCGCCCAGGUUGGAGUGCAGUGGCUCAAUCUCGGCUCACUGCAUCCUCCACCUCCCAGGUUCAAGCGAUUCUCCUGCCUCAGCCUCCUGAGUAGCUGAGAUUACAGGCGCGUGCCACCACGCCCGGCUAAUUUUUGUAUUUUUAGUAGAGAUGGGAUUUCACCAUAUUGGCCAGACAGGUCUUGAACUUUGAUCUGACUGACUUUGUGAUCUGCCUGCCUCAGCCUCCCAAAGUGCUAGGAUUACAGGCAUGAGCCACCGAGAGUUCGUUUCUCAAAAGACUAAAUGAGUUUCCUUUUUCUUCCAUGAUACCUAGGUAUAGCUAGGUGAUUCUACAUUAGAGAUUUGAUGACUAAGGCUAUUCUUUUAUAGGGCUUUUUUUUUUUUUAAUUUCCUGACUUGAUAAGCAAUAGCUGUGAUUAAGGCAGCCGGUAGUUGGUGCUGCUUUUUCCCCUGACUGGAAGGCUGGAGAGGAACUAUGUUCUCCUGGCAUGGAAAGAGAAAAAAAGAUUAGCUUAUAGAUUCUAUUAUUCUUAAAUUCUGAUAUCGAUUAAAAAUGCAUUUUUAAAUCUUAACAUUUUAUGACUGAGCCUUAGAGAUAAUGUAGCUGAUAACUGUUCCAUCAUAAAAUAAUGUUUAUUCCAAAUUUGGAAAUUAAUAGAAUAAUAAUAAUGUCUUAAACUUAGACCACAGUUCAAAUGAACACUCCACUUGCCUGACUGGUGAUGAUGCUCUUUUCGCUCUAUCCAGCAGUCCUAUAGUCCUAUCAUUUAAAGGCUACCUCUGUUAAUAUAUUUUGGUUUUGUUUUGUUUUGUUGUUUUGUUCUGUUUUUGAGACAGGAUCUCACUCUGUCACCCAGGCUGGAGUGCAUGGUUGCGAUCCCGGCUCAUGGCAGCGUCAGUCUCCCUGGGCUCAGGUGAUCCUCCCACUUCAGCCUCCAGAGUAGCUGGGGCUACGGGCCCGCCCCACCAAGCCCUGCUGAUUUUUGUAUUUUUUGUAGAGACAGGGUUUCCCCAUGUUGCCAAGGCUGGUCUCGAACUCCUGGGCUCAAGCAAUCCACCUGCCUCAGCCUCAAAGUGCUGGGGUUACAGGUGUGAGCCACCAUAGCUGGCCUACUACUUGGUAACUAUCUUAUAUCUUAAUUUCGUUUCUUUAUGGUUGAGUAUUUAGGUCAUUCUACUUUCUGCUGUUACAUAUAGUAAUUCUUUGAUUAACAUUUUUGCUGAAACUUUGACAUUUUUCACUGUUGCAUAAGAUAGCUUCCCAGGAGUACUAGGUAGACGUAUAUAAACAUUUAAUACAUGUUCAUAAACUUGAAAAAGUUUUGUCAGUUUAUACAACUGUCGUAAUGUAUGAGUGUUCAUAUUAUAAUUUUCUUGAUCUUUAUUUGAUGGUUGAAAACUGAUAUCUUGUUUUAACUUGAAUUUCUUGAUUACUAUUGAGGAUAGAAAUUUUCCACCUGUCAUUAACUAUUCUAUGAGUGUCUAUUCCUGGCCUUGGUUGUGCCCCAUACUGUUAAAGAGGAGACAACUAAGGUACCCAGACUGUGUAGAAUUAUGUUGCCUAGAUGGUUAUUUGCAUGUUGAAAACAUGAUAAUUUUGCUAAUAAAUUAGCAAAUAGCUAAUUUGUGGCUGAUCCAGAAUUUGAUCUCAAUUAUCUCUACUUUUAGUAUUUACAAAAUGAGAGAUAAAUGUAUAAAGUAGGGUGGUGCACAUUCAUGUUUGACAGACCUACGUUUUACUCCACACAGACUCCUUCUGAUGGCUGGGGAUUGGGGAGGUGGUCCUGGACCAUACUUUGAGAACCAGUGAGCUAAUACAUGGUAAAUGAUAAAGGUAAUGCUGGGAAAGUUAGGUAGAGGUCUUUCGGUGAAGGAUCUUGUAUUUAUGCUAUACUUAGAUUUUGUUCUACAGACCGAUAAUAGCAAUUCUGGACAGUCUGCAUUGUAACUCCUAGAGUCAUGGAGAAAGUAGGGAGGUGUUAAGAAAAUAGACAUGCUGGCCCACUCCAGCGUCAUUCCCCCACCCUCACCUUCUCCAGCCUGCUCCUUGAGUUGUACUCUGAACCUUCACUUACUCAGAUAGGUUCUGGUAGAAAAGGUGAGAAUCAUUAGUCUGGGUUUCUGGAGCACUACUGAGUCUUUUAAGAAAGGUAAACAGUCAUUUGUGUUUUACAAAGUUGAAUCUGAUAGCAGUAUGAAGGGUGGCAUUUUGGAAGCUGUUGAAAUAUAAGAAGUGAGAUGUGAGGGCCUGAAGUGAACUGAGAUGGGGAAA